rnacentral:rRNA from 1 species
CGGGAAUCUUCCGCAAUGGACGAAAGUCUGAUGGAGCAACGCCGCGUGAACGAUGAAGGUCUUCGGAUUGUAAAGUUCUGUUGUCAGAGACGAACAAGUACCGUUCGAACAGGGCGGUACCUUGACGGUACCUGACGAGAAAGCCACGGCUAACUACGUGCCAGCAGCCGCGGUAAUACGUAGGUGGCAAGCGUUGUCCGGAAUUAUUGGGCGUAAAGCGCGCGCAGGCGGCUAUGUAAGUCUGGUGUUAAAGCCCGGGGCUCAACCCCGGUUCGCAUCGGAAACUGUGUAGCUUGAGUGCAGAAGAGGAAAGCGGUAUUCCACGUGUAGCGGUGAAAUGCGUAGAGAUGUGGAGGAACACCAGUGGCGAAGGCGGCUUUCUGGUCUGUAACUGACGCUGAGGCGCGAAAGCGUGGGGAGCAAAC